rnacentral:lncRNA from 1 species
CAGAUCCAGUUCACUCAUAUAAUGACAGAUGGAAGAAGUGGACGCCACGCUUGCAGUUUGUAAACAAAGUUUUUGAUUGGCCAAAUGAAUGCGCACGUCAUCCACAUUUUUGUCAGACGCGUCGCGUACUCGCAGCGCGUUCAUUCGCUGGUUAUGAGAGCGAUCUAGUUUUUCGUUGCAUCGCUGUUUGCAACAAAUGCAGUAUUAAAUCUAAUUAGAUAAAAAAGACUUUACGGUUGUAAUUUGUUUUUGCGCGUUCUUUUUUUCCCUAAAAUUUCCAUUUUAUCUUGCUGACUUUACGGUUGUAAUUUGUUUUUGUCGUCGUUCUUUUUUUUCCCUAAAAUUUACCAUUUUAUCUUGCUGUUUUAGAUUAUCAGCUACUCAAAUAGUUUGUCACCGCUUGUAGGCAUGUGAAAAUUGGCAUAUCUCAGAAGGAUGCCGUGAAAAUGUUUAAUCUGAAAGAUGGGCACAGCAAAAAGCAGGAUGAAAAAAGUCGCACCAGUAACCGAGGAAAACGUCUGUAGCGGCGGCAUUCACCGGGAUGAAAGUCAGCUGUUUGGUCCCUCAGAGACCAAACCCGCAGACCGGCGCCUGACGAUCAGAAGGAGAGCCCAGCCUGACUGUAACAGUGAGGGGCAGGACUCUGAGUUUUCAGCCGACGAUCUCGCGGUGGAAGUGGACAGAAUCCUCGCUGAGUGUGUCAGCACUGAUAUAUCACUGAACAGGACUUCUUAUAAGAUGCCAAUGUUUGGAUCGAACUCUUUAGGGCUUUACUAUGCCAAAGCCCAAGACAGCUACAGCUUCUACAGUGGCAGCACACGUGACAAAAAUGAAAUUAACACAGUGAACAAACCAAUCUCUAUUCAUAAAAAGGUCAGGCCUUCACAGGACCUGCUAAAACUGUGCCAACAUAGAGAACACAGCGACAGCUUCGGGUUCUGGAAUUGGUGGAGGUUCAUCUGUGGCCUUGCCUAUCACGUAUGA